UGCGACCGUCCUGAAACCCACGCGUUCGCAGAUUACAAUCAUCACGUAUCACGUCUAAAAUCUUCUUAACGACAACAGGGAAGACAUAAUUCAUGUUGGCUGGCAACUCAGCAUAGUUAAGGUUCAUCGCUGCGAUACCAGCAGAUCUCUGGCUUCGGAGCGGCCAGCAGCUGGCACUCGAAGACGAGCUUGUUGCCAUCGUCCUCCUGGCGCAGCUGCGGCUUCUGUGUGAAGCUAGGGGCUAAGUCGUCGGUCACCC